UGUUCCUUCUUCACUUGGGCUUGUGCAGGUUUCCUCAUCUGCUGCGUGCUGCACUUACAAAUUUGCAAUUCUCUCUCUCUCUCUCUCUCGCUCGCUCUCUCAUUAAUCCUAAUUCCUAAUUGACAAACAGAGUUUGUGAAAAUGGUUUCGGAGUCGGAGCUAGUAAAUCGGCUCAGGGAAAUCCUUCGAACCUCCGACCUGGACAUUGCCACCGCUGGCUCCGUUCGCCGCCAACUCGAGGAGGAAUUCGGGGUUAGUCUGCAUGACAGGAAAACCUUCAUAAGCGAGCAAAUUGACUUGUUCCUCUCAGAACUUAGAAACGAUGACGCCCAACAACAACAUCGAGAAGAAACCCAGGGAGAUAGCAGUGAUGAUGAGGAGAUAAGGGAAGUAAAGGUUGAGGAUGUGAAGCAAGUUGAUGAGAAUGAGGAUAGUGGGUCCCACACCCAGGAAGUGGCAAUUGGAAAAGAUGAAGGAAGUGAUGGAGUAAGAAGCAAGCAAAAAAGUAGGUCUCACAAGAAGGAUAAAAAUGAAAAGAAAAAGGGAAGUGGCUUUGGCAAAACAUGGGCAAUAUCUCCUCAACUUCAGGAAAUUGUUGGAGUGCCAGAAAUGGCUAGAACUGAGGUGGUAAAAAGGAUGUGGACAUACAUCAGGGAGAAUAAUUUGCAAAAUCCAAAGGAUAAGCGAAAGAUAAUAUGUGAUGAAAACUUGCGUGGAAUUUUUCAAGUAAAGAGUAUUAACAUGUUUCAGAUGAAUAAAGCUCUGUCCAAGCACAUGUGGCCCAUUGAUUCAGAAGAUGAACCCCAGAAGCACAACACACAACAGCAUCAAGAAGAUCAAGAAGAAGCGGAAGAAGAAGAUAGUAAUGGUGAAGAGAUGAAACAAGAAUUUGAGAAUCUGAAGCAAGAACUGAAUGAGGGUAGUGUUCACCAGGAAGUGGACGUUGAAAAUGAGGAAGAAAGUCAUGGAGUGAGAAGCAAGAAGAGAAGUAGGUCUUACAAGAUGGAUAACAAUGAUAAGAAAAAGAGAAGCGGCUUUAACAAACCAUGGGCAAUUUCUCCUCAACUUCAGAAAAUUGUUGGAGUGCAGCAGAUGGCUAGAACUGAGGUUGUCAAAAAGAUGUGGGUGUACAUUCGCGAGAAGAAUUUGCAAAAUCCGAAGGAUAAGCGAAAGAUAAUAUGUGAUCAAACCUUGCAUGGAAUUUUUCAGGUCAAGAAUAUUAACAUGUUUCAGAUGAAUAAAGCACUGUCAAAGCACAUGUGGCCCAUUGAUGCAGAAGAUGAUCACCAAGAAGCUGAAGAAGACGGUAAUGGUGAAGAGACAGAAGAACAAUCAGAGGAUGUGAAGCAAGAAGAGAAUGAGUACAGUGGGUCCAAUGAAGUGGACAUAGGAGGAGGAGGAGAAGAAGAAGAAAGUGAUGGAAUAAGAAAUAAGCAAAAAAGUAGGUCUCAAAGGAUGGAUGCAAUUCAAAAUAAAAAAGGAAGUGGCUUUAGCAAACCAUGUGCCAUAUCUCCCCAACUUCAGGAACUUGUUGGAGUGCCUGAGAUGGCUAGAACCGAGGUUGUCAAAAAAAUGUGGGCUUACAUCCGGGAGAAGAAUUUGCAAAAUCCAAAGGAUAAGCGGAAAAUUAUAUGUGAUGAAGCCUUGCGUGCCAUUUUUCGAGUCAAUACUAUCAACAUGUUUCAAAUGAAUAAAGUACUCUCCAAGCACAUAUGGCCCAUUGAUAUAGAAUAUGCAACUCCUAUCAAAUCUUCACAGAAGAAAAGGCAGCGGGAAAAGGACCGGCAAUAAGGUUUUGAUGAACCAAAAUGAAAAGAAAAACAGCAGAAAGGGAGAAUGUCGGGUUGCCUUGGCCCCCUUUUCUUGUCAGGUAUUGUGGUCAAGUUCCUUGGUACUGGUGAAUAUGCGCUAUCUCGAGUUGAUGUAGUGAAGAGUGUGUGGAAGCACAUAAAGGAAAACCAAGGUGCAGGAUCCAACUGACUGGAUGGAGAAUCAUAUGCAAUCAUAAAUUAACUGAGCUCUUGGUCCAUUAGAUGGCUUCACAACAUCAAAGGUCCUAAAUGCUCAUUUUAUCAGAACAGAUGCUGAGUGGUGACAUGUUGAGUGAGAGCUGUAGAGACGGGGGGAUAGAAUCGCUUAUAAAAAUCUGUGAAUUGCUAAUCCACCAUAGCUAAUUUGGAUUAGUUUUUCCAGCUUUACAUAUCAUCCUAUCACAUGGCAACACGUAGUAACUUAAAAUCGUGGAUCCAAUA